GGUAUUUCCUCCUACCGGUGAGAUCUCCUCCCACAAUCACGCUCACGAUCCAUCUACCGCUCACGCAGUUGCCUCCUCUCCCCACGCCAUCGAUCUCACCGUUGCCCAUUUUCCAUUCAUCGGAUCGACGUUGCCGCAUCCUCUUCCUCCCUACUGUGUCGCCGCCGCCGAUGGAGCACCAAGAAGGAGAAGGCCCUCGCUCGAUGUCGUCGUCCUCGCCCACACCAUCGUCCUCAACCCACCCCGAUCUGCCGUCGUCCUCACCGGCCAAUCCCCUUCUCCCUCGGCGCUGCCUUUCCUACACAGCAUGGCUUGUGGUGGCUUCAUAGCCCAACGAAGCCAGAGCCUAGCCCCCUUGUGGGUUUGCUUUUGGCCUGUGCACGGCCAGUGCGGUGGUCAGCUGGGCCAGGCAGCUCGCAGUGGAUGCGGCGGUGUGGACCUCCAGGGUGUGCCCCCUCCCUUGUGAAGCCGACAAGUAUGCCCACCCCUUACCUAGCGAUGGUUGUCAACAUGGGGCUUCUAGUAGGCACCAAGAUGAAGGGGACAAUAGCCAUGGCAUCCCAGACAUCUACACCAACGUUCACAGUCCUAGUACCACCUCACCACCUCCACUCCAUAUGCAACAUCAGACUCGCAUAGGAGGUGUUUGAGGAAAUUCCUAUGAGGCUUUUGGAAUCAAAGUUGGAUAUGUAGUCCCAGCCAAGCUGGAGGUGCUGGUAGUUCAUCUCCUCAAGGUGGUGGCUGCUACAACUAAUCUACUAACCUGGUUAUGUACAAAGGAAUAUAUGUUGUGUGUCACAUAUGCACGGACAGGGUGUGGAGGUGGCACUACAUUGGUAGAUGGGCAGGGUUGGGCACUCUUUCCCACCGCACAUGAGCCAAUGUGGGAGAUUCAUCGCAACAUGAUCUACCAGUCAAGGUGAUAGAGGUUGACAGCCAUCACUAUAGUGAGUUUGAGCUUACCCUGUCAGUUGGUGACAUUGUAAUUGUCUAAAAGGUAAUAUACUUUCUCGCAAACAUAGUUUUUUACAUCUUCCAUGUUAAUACAAUUUUAGUGCUUUUUAAAUGCAUGACUAUAGCAGAUAAACAUACCACCACUUGGCUAUCAUUAUUUUUUUCUGAACCAAGGUUUUUUAUUUCUGUUCAUCGAUGUUAUGGGUUCUAUGAAAUGAUUAAUUUAUUUUUCCCAGCAGCUGCGCUGAGCGUAUAUUUUAGUGUGAGCUGAAUCUUGGUAUUCUCAUUUUAGUCAUGACCUAUUAGAAUACAAUUUUAAUUGAGAUAAACUUAUAAAAUAGCAGUGUAUAUACUUGGUGGCUAAUGUACUGUUGGUAGAGUUGGAUACAUGGAUGAAAUGAAGGAAGGUUUUGGGAGAAGAGCUUCACCGCUCAAGAUUCUGGACAGAUUUGGCCAAGAAACUAUUUGCUCCAUGAAUUCUUGCUUGCUUUGUGCUUUAGAUGGAAUUAAUUCACAACUGAUUUUCAGUUUUGUAAGUGCUUGUUGUGGAUAUGUGCUGCCUAGAUGCCAGGACAGAAUCCUGUUUAUGACAGGGUAGGUCACUCAAGCAACAUUUUCACAGUGAACUUGUGUUUAUGCUGAAUUGUAGGUACUUUUGUUGGCAUGGAAUCUUUUAUAAAUCCAUUUCCGCCUACAA